GUACGUUUGCGUUUUUAACGCGCCUCUUUUGCACACAAGUUAAACAAUAAGAGAUAGAUAAAUGACAGUUAAUUACAGCGGCACAUUCCCGACAACGAUCGUAAAUAAACCAAUUACGUCUUCGCGAUAUACAAGAAAAAGGAAGGACAAUGGGAUAAACGUGCAAGAAAUCAUAGCUGCAUAGAUUCGCAAAAAAAAUGUGGCGAUACAAAAAAAAAGAGGAAAAAACCGCAUAGGAAAUAACGCAUAAAGGACGAGGGAGAGAUGACGGGUCACGGGUCCCGCGAAGGACCAGUGAAGCUGGGUGUACAGGUCCAGCUUGCCCGCCACUCCCCCCUCCCCUCGCCCACUCUCAUUCACCCCUGUCGUCGCUGCUCCGAAAAUAUUUCGCGAUCAAAUAGGUACGCGGAUCGACUUACUGUCAAUUGAGAAGGCAUCCGCGGCUGCCAGCGCGGCCAACGCGACGAGUAGCAGCACGCCACGGGAAUCUUGCCCCAUGACAACCCUCUUUCUUCUCACGGUCGUGUCCUUCCUGCCUUCGUUCCACCACUGUGUCAGGGCACACCACCACCACCCAGUGUGCAGCAUCCGCCACCACCGUUGCCAACCUCUCGGUACCACGAGUUUCUUCUCGCCGUCUCUCGCCCUCUUGCCGGCUCUCUCUUUCUCUCUCUCUCUCCGUCUCUCUUCCUCCCGUGAAUAUCGAUCAA